rnacentral:rRNA from 1 species
CAAUAGCGUAUAUUAAAGUUGUUGCAGUUAAAAAGCUCGUAGUUGGAUUUCUGGUGGAGAAGCUCCGCCCUCACGCGAGUGCGCGGAGGCUCUCUACCAUCCUUCUGUUAACCCUCGUGGUCCUUUAUUGGAUGCUUGGGAGCCCAGAUAUUUUACCUUGAGAAAAUUAGAGUGUUUCAGGCAGGCUUUCGCCCGGAUACAUUAGCAUGGAAUAAUAGAAUAGGACUACGGUCUCUUUGUUGGUUUGAGGGACUGCAGUAAUGAUUAAUAGGGAUAGUUGGGGGCAUUAGUACUUAACUGUCAGAGGUGGAAUUCUCAGAUUUGUUAAAGACUGACUUAUGCGAAAGCAUUUGCCAAGGAUGUUUUUCAUUAAUCAAGAACGAAAGUUAGGGGAUCAAAGACGAUUAGAUACCA